ACGAACGCCGGCGGCGUGCUUAACACAUGCAAGUCGAGUGCACUUCGGGUGCACGGCAGACGGCUGAGUAACGCGUGGGAACGUACCCUUGGGUCGGGCAUAACCUGCCGAAAGGCAGGAUAAUUCCCGAUACGUCUUCGGAUGAAAGAUUUAUCGCCCGAGGAGCGGGCUGUGUUCGAUUAGUUGGUUGGUGGGGUAAUGGCCUACCAAGAGGAUGAUCGAUAGUUGGUCUGAGAGGAUGACCAGCCAGACUGGGACUAAGACGCGGCCCAGACUCCUACGGGAGGCAGCAGUGAGGAAUUUUGCGCAAUGGACGAAAGCCUGACGCAGCCAUGCCGCGUGAAUGAUGAAGGUCUUAGGAUUGUAAAAUUCUUUCACCGGGGACGAUAAUGACGGUACCCGGAGAAGAAGCCCCGGCUAACUUCGUGCCAGCAGCCGCCGUAA
rnacentral:rRNA from 1 species